rnacentral:rRNA from 1 species
CCGCAUAAGCCCACGGGUCGGCAUCGACCAGAGGGAAAAGGAGCAAUCCGCUUUGAGAUGGCCUCGCGUCCGAUUAGCUAGUUGGUGAGGUAACGGCCCACCAAGGCAACGAUCGGUAGCCGGACUGAGAGGUUGAACGGCCACAUUGGGACUGAGACACGGCCCAGACUCCUACGGGAGGCAGCAGUGGGGAAUAUUGCACAAUGGGGGAAACCCUGAUGCAGCGACGCCGCGUGGAGGAAGAAGGUCUUCGGAUUGUAAACUCCUGUUGUUGAGGAAGAUAAUGACGGUACUCAACAAGGAAGUGACGGCUAACUACGUGCCAGCAGCCGCGGUAAAACGUAGGUCACAAGCGUUGUCCGGAAUUACUGGGUGUAAAGGGAGCGCAGGCGGGAAGACAAGUUGGAAGUGAAAUCUAUGGGCUCAACCCAUAAACUGCUUUCAAAACUGUUUUUCUUGAGUAGUGCAGAGGUAGGCGGAAUUCCCGGUGUAGCGGUGGAAUGCGUAGAUAUCGGGAGGAACACCAGUGGCGAAGGCGGCCUACUGGGCACCAACUGACGCUGAGGCUCGAAAGUGUGGGUAGCAAACAGGAUUAGAUACCCUGGUAGUCCACACCGU